CCACUUUCUGGUAUGAUAAGUGUUGGUGUGACAUUCGGUUUUGGCAUGUGAAGCAACUCUAAGUCUCAGGACGUCUCCUUAAGCUGAUAUGAUGCUCUCACACACCAAGAACUCGCUGCAGAGAACAGAUAACAAAAAAAAAACAGAACACACUUGAAGAAUAGAGUAUUUGAAAAAGAGUGCAAGACACAAGAUUGUUAACCAGUUACAUCCAUUAACGAAGGUGUUAGUCUGGGUCAGGACCUGUCUCCCGGAAUCUACCAGAGGUUAUAAGAGAGUAUUCACACAACCUCAAAGCCCUUACAAUGCUUUUCUUGGUUUCACUCUAUACCCCUUCCCAAAAACAAAGAUACAAGUUUAUGUUGUGUGUACAAUGUCCUUACUUCUCUCUGUCUUUAU
rnacentral:lncRNA from 1 species